rnacentral:lncRNA from 1 species
AUCCAGAAAGCUACUAGUCUAUUAUUUGAUAUUUCAUUGCCAAAGGGAUUUUUCAAUCCAGAUUGGUUGUGUAAUAGCCUGUUAUCGUUCAAGUUAAUGUGCGGUAAUUAAAAGAAUGGGCCGCAGAAAAUCCCUAGAAAAAUGUUUUUCACCAGAGUUCUAUUCUAAAAAAUGAGUUACAGAACAAAUAAAAACAAGCUCUGACAAAUGCCUUUUUUCAAGCAAAAACAGUAGCAGCCGUGAGGUCAAUAGUUCAUCCAGAAAAGUUGAGCUUCUUCAUCACUUUUGCAUAAGCCAAUGGGACAGUACCAGGACGUCUAAGCCUGCGCCUUGCUUUCUUAGACUGCAUAAAUAAUGAUCAUAUUAACCUCACACAGUAUCAAUCCUAGUUAACUGUUCCUAACCGCCAAAGUCUUGCAAGUAUGGUCAAGAGAGGGGAAAAAAUUAUUCGGCGCUAAAAAAAAACGUCUAGAGAAAAGCACCCAAAGAAUCUUCAGCACACGACACAAUACUCCAUAUUUGUAGUUUAGAAGUGGAGAAAGAGGCAAAAAUUAACACAGUGAUAUCCCUUUCGUGCGGUAAGAGUAAUACUGACAGCAUUUUCCACAUAAAGCAGUACUUCAAAAAAUAAUAAUAAUAACCAAAAUGAAACAGCCAUGAAUGGACGGGUAGACAGACAAUAUCAUACACCUCACCUAAAAACUAUGGUUAUCUUUCUCUACAUAUUCAAUAAUGAAACAUUCAAACAGAUGAUGAUACCAUAUUAGAAAAAGUGAAAAUCUGAGAGGGAACUGCAUUCUGCAGCUCUACAAGUGAAUACAGCAGCAAAAUUUCAAUCAUUGAAAGCUUCAAUCACAUCAAGAAAGACAACACAAUUCAAUAAGGUCCCUAGCCUGUGUAAAAUCAAUUGCACACCUCCACCUUUAUUCCUUAUGGUGUUUGAUUUCCUAUUUGUAUAGCUGCAUAAUUCUGUUACAGGGUUGCAACCCCUUCAGCACAUAAUUAAAGAAAACAUCCACAUGAAAAGUCAUAUUAAUCCCAUGCCACAUAUGGGUUUGAUCCAUAUAGAUGUAUCCAGCAUACUAAUUCACAAAAGGGUGCCUAUCAAUGCAAAACCAGGAGGAACAGGAGUAACUUAUGGAAAUUGGCAGUCAACAAAUAAAGGAUAUGGUAAACCUAUGUACAAGGGAAAUAGUUGAUGUGUCACAAACUCUACACCCGCAUAUGUACCUAAAGUUCAAAUAUAAAUGCUUGGCGUCUCAUUCAAGAUUACUCAGUUGAAUUAGCUUCAAGCCCUUUUUCCCCCUUGUGAAAUAGCUAAUUAUUUCUUCAAAAAGCCCUGUUUGCUAGGGAAUUGUGAACUAAAAAAGUGAAAAAGAUAGAGAGGGGGCGAGAGCGAGAAUCUUUCUUUCUGUUUGGGAUUCACUAAAGGAAUAAAAGAUGAGGAAGAUGCUUCCAAAUUGGGGAGAAACAUAGAGAAAACCAGGGAGGCAUUAAUAUCUUUUCAUACUGUCAGUUUAGCCCCCAGAACGUUAUGGAAAGAUACUUAAUUAAUUCUUGAGUCCAAAAUCAUCAUUUAAUCCUGCCAAAAAACCCAAACCGUUAUCCACUUUUAUCUUUUUGAACUACUCUCCUAACUUAACUGACAUUUUUCUAUUUCAUCCUUCUUUAUUCCCUCUAGACUAAAAGAUAAUUUCAUCUUGAACUUGUUUUCCACAUAGAACACAUUAAUUUAAUUUCAAAAUCAGAGUGACCAGCUAUGCAGAUGAGAAAGAUGUUAUUAAGACCUAAGACAACACCAGAACAGACAUUAGAAGAUGAGAUGCUAACAAGAUAACAUCACCUACCUACACCUCUAACAAGGAAAAGAGAGCCAAGGUAUAACCCUCAACAUAUGUGAUAUUAAACUGCAAUUUUUCACUGAUAUCAAACUUCAAUCUUGUCUGUCUGCUCCUAAAUUUUCCAAAACAAUAUCUCCAGCAUAUUCAAUGAAAUAAGACUCUUAGAUAAACGUGCCUUGCAAAUGUAAAAGGCCCACAGACAUCAAGCUAACUACCUUAAGUUUCAUCCAUGCACAUAGUUUACGAUGUUAUUUGGUUCAAGGUAUAAUGGACAGCCAAUUACUCUGAAACAUAUCCUUUCCCUGCCAUAUAGUCUGGUAACCAUUACUAGCAAGGGAAGCUUGAAGAUGGGACUAUUCCCAAGUCAAUUGUCAGUGGAUGGAGAAAAGAAAGAUUCUUUCCACAUUUUCUUCCCUCCCUCACAAGUUAUCUCACAAAUUUACCAGAUAGUUUCACAGUAAGCUAGUAUUUUGUUGCAACUCAGGCUUAAUCCAGAAAGGUAGGCCUUCCAUUCUCCACUCUGUCAGCAGUAGCAUGUUCCCUAAAUGUCAUACACAAUUAUUCAAAGGCUUGAUAAUUUCCUUUAUAUUUUAGGGUUGUGUUUAGAUUUAGGAACAAUUCUCUUUUUUAACUGUAAGGGCUUCCAGUUGUAGUUUAUUUGUGAAUCGAAUAGAUAGUUCAUGUCAAAGGACUGGAGCAAAGGAGGAUGGCAAAUUGGAGGACUUGCUAAUAUUGUAGCCUGCCAAUCAAAUUCAGUAAAUGAGAAGCAGAAAGAAGAAAGUGGAGAUCAUAGAAGCACUUCAAAUGGUUAUGCCAACAAUACAAACAAAUCAGUUAGCGUACUUAUAAGACAUGGGACCCCAUAGUACUUAUCCUUCUUUUAUGGAAAAAGCAAAAAGAAACCAACGGCAAAGCUGAGUGACAUGAAAAUUUCAGAAGGCUAUGCCAUUCCAUGCAAAUCCAACUUCCUCCUAUGGAAAAACAGAAAAUGCAUUUGAGCACGGCCUAUAAAAGGCAUUCUAUUGAGCUCUUUUUCUAUUUGACAAUACAUACACUCCAAGAAGAGCACAUUCAAUAAAGUUCCAUAGUGAACUUUUGGAAAUCUUCUCUACUCACUACAAUUUUCAACAACAGAUUUUUCUGCCCUACUAUCUUGACCAUAUACUCAUGACCUUUUCCUUAAAACUCCUACAGAAACAGAUAAGCAACAACAUGGAACCAAUGUAACUCCUAUAACAUCUAAAUGAAGGUGCGGUAACAGAAAACAAGUUUAAACGCGAGGUGCAUUAAGCACAACAGUGAAAAUAAAAGAAGCACUAUAACAAGCGACUAUGCUAAAAGCACCAGAUUAAAAUUCAUACCAACUCAAAUAAUGUUAUUAUCAUUUUAUCCAGCAGUAGGACAAUAAACAGACCUUUAAAUGUGCAUUGUGCCGCUUCCCUUCCUUCCAACGCCUAAUUUGCCCAUCCUUCAUAACUCUAAAUCUUCCCUUAAAUGACCUGAGAGAUAAAAUUUACCAAAAUCAUUAGAUGUUUGCAAAUAGUAAAUACAGACCACUAAAAACGAAUUUCUUUGCAUGUGAUCAAGGGAUUUACAUACGAAUAACAUUUCAUUUUGAUUUUCUUGACUUUGGAAGUGAUUGGAGUCAAUGGUUGCCUACUCUUUAACUUUCUUUUCCUCUGUUUUGCAGUAAUAUGCCUCACUUGAAAAAACUGCAGAUGACAACAAUCAAAACAAAUGACAUUAGAACUUACUGAUAAUAAAGAACAGACCAAUAAAAAAAAAAGACACAGAACAAUCUCCCAAUACCAAUAAAGUUAACUUCUAAGUCAGUUAACCCAUCCUAGAUUCUCUAAUCAAUCCUUCAAACCAAGAUAUUAAUCAAUUUCAACAAAUAAUCUUACCAGCUAUAUUUUCUUGUUAAACCAUAAGACCACACAGCAGCCAAUAAAAUUUCAACAGUUGAAUAAAUUCAAUAUUAAAUUGCAACAAACCGAAAAAAAGUAACAUAAAUUUCCAACAACCAUAUCUCCCUCGAUUUUGAGUUCAAAACGUAAUCCAUAUUUAAAAGCAACAAAAAAAAGGCCGUAAAGACCCCAAAAAACAAAGCAAUCAUUUUUUAGUUCAAAUUUGCUACAAAACUCGUUGGCCAUCACAAAAUUUAAAAAGCUAAAUUUGUAAUUAAAAAAAUGCUCUUACUAGCCCAAAAAGAAAUGAAACGUGAGAACAAAAUCAGAAAAAGGGUUCUGAAAUUUACUUACAGAAAGAGGGAGAUGAGAGGGAUUGGAGUUUGAGGGGUGAGGAACUUGAGGGACAUUUUGAAGGGACUUAAAGCUGGGAAAAAUUGGAAAUUGGGCAGUGGAUUUGUUGAGUAAAUUAGGAGAAAUGUGGAGGGUCCGUAUGGAAAUUGAGGUGGGAUUUCGGGGCUUUGCUGAGUAAUGCAGUGCCGAAGCCAGUGACCGGAGCUUUGAGCACCAUCUUUGCAUCGUCGUCUCUCAGGCCUCACUGUGUGCCCGUGAGUGUCUUCUACUGUGUGUUUUUCUUGGGGCUUUCUGCUGGGGUUUUGUUGUUGAAUUGGGGGUUUCUUCAAUGGACCCACCUAAAACAAGUGGAGACUGGAGAGGAGAAUUACAAAAACCAAUAUAUACUCGACCUCAAUAAUUUUUGUAGUAGUGCAUAGGAAGCAAAAACUCAUGAUUCCUCCCACGCAGAUUGGUCCAGUGGUAGCAGCGGUCCUUUGGACACAAAAGUCCCGAAAUCGAAACUGCUCGCUGAGCACCUAUGUGACUCGCCAGGGAAAACGUUGCGUGGGGCUACAGCAUUUCCCUCCGUUUGGCGUGCUGACUCGAGUCCAAAGGAUUCGGGUCGGUACAUGUUCGGACUACCAAAAAAAAAAAAUUCAUGAGCCAUAAAUGAUUCGAUAAUACAAUCGAUGUUUAUGUCCAAAUUCAUUAACCUAUGUUUGGUUACUAUAACUUGCAAACAAACCUUUCAAAUAUUAUUAUUCAGUUUACAUUAUAAACACAAAUUUUAAUUAUCUUUUUAUUUCAUAUACAUUACAUUACAAAAAAUGUUAUAGUAUUCUUUCAAAUAAUUUUUUUCCAAACAAUCUCCUAUCCAAACUUGUGAUGUGAACAUUUUGGUCAAAGAGAUCAAAAUAUUACUUAUAAUAGAUUGAAAAUGGAUGUCUUUGAAAGAAGUCGAAACCAAUGCUCGAGAAAGUUGUUAAACAUCCACAACGACCAGAACCAGUCAAAGGUGAUACAACUAUUAUUUGACUUGGUACAGCUGCCAACUUUGCUAAUUACAAACAAUUCACAUCUGGAGCAGUACAUGUACUUGACAACGGUUUUCUAGCAGGAAAAUGCGACCGAAAAUCUAGUCCUUGGGCUUGUAAUCUAGUUCUUAAAUUUUUGGGCAAAAAGCUGACUCAGUAAGAGGGAAAAGUUGUGCUAGGCUGUCUCUAUCAAGUCUUGAAUAGCAAUCCUCUAGGAAAUUAUGCAAUGUUGACCAUUUCUAUGUCAUGAAAGAUAUCGAACGACUUCAGUUUUUCGGCUGAUUCUUUGCCCCUUGAAUUUCGAAUUUUGAAGUUCUUAUGUCCACUAAUUUCAUGAGCUAAACAUAUCACCAUGGAUAAAUAAAUACCAUUGUUUCAAUUUUCACCUUAAGUAAAUCCCUUUUUUUGGGUUUUGAAUAAAUCGUUUUCUUCUCUUUGGAAUUCAUAAUCUCUCCCCAGCAGGGGUCUCUCCAACUCCCUGUUAUUGAUUUUGAAGAUCAAUCAAGGUAGUCAGUCUUCUAAGAUUCCUUUUGUCCUUGAAGUCUAAGAAGCUAACAAGAGGGUCUUGCUGAACCCAAAAGAAGUAGGAGCUCAAAGGAAAUACAGUUGAAAAUGGCAUUCGAGAAAGCUUCAAAGCCAAUUUCUAAGUCCUCCAUUCCCUCCAAGAAGAGGUACGUAGAUUCUAUGCUGCAUGCAUUUCAUUACAUUUGGAAAAGGAGAUUUCUAAAAUUUCGAAAUUCAUAGUUGGAGUUGAGAACUACCCCGGAAAUGUAUUUCAAUAAUUAUUGGGAUGAUCAUAUGCUAGGACAGUAAUUAAUUUGCAACAAAAACAUACAAAGACAAAGAACCCAAAAAAAAAUUUUUUUUUUUUGCACGUCACCGUGAAUUGGUAGAGGAAUUAGUUUAUAUUUUUUUUCUCAAAAGGUGCAUCAACGGCAUUUUUUUUAAUACACACAACUCAUUAUUUACACACACUCAUAUUUAUUAUCCCCGAUAUAUAGUUACUUUUCCGAUUUAAUUUUACUUUUCUAAAAAGUUCGAAUAUGAUAAUUUCUUAGAGCCGAUUUGACUCGUUAGAUAAACCCAUUCAACGUGAACACAGUCCUAUGAACUCAUUCCUCAAGAAUAUAUCAUUUGUCAGGUGUAAUGGAGCAUCAUCAUUCAACAUUUGCGCCAUGGCUAGUGUCCUCUUGGAAUUGGCUUUCCUUCAGCUCAUUGCAUCUCUCCUGAUCCUGCCAAGCCCAUCUGAGGCAUUUUAUCGGGAGCCAAAGAGAGUUAAACUAACCAACAAUCACACGAACAUUUUGACAGUUAGGUGCUUUUCAUUCUACGAAAGUGAAACCACCGAACGAUGGCAUUUAAAGCCUAAAGAAUGGUUCAACUUCACAGUCCAACCUAAUAAACUCUUCCCUUCCAUGUCCAUGUACAACUGCUCCACCAAUAUGGGGGUGUUUGUAGCUUACAGUUAUGACUACGAGUGCGCCACAGAGAUUACCCGACUUGUGACUGGAGGUUUGAUGAAAAUCGAACGUACCAUUUCAUUCAUAAGACAAAUACAUGGGUAGCCUAUGAUUACAAUCCUAAUUAUGAGUCUCUUGGAAGAGGGGGUGUUGUAAGAGGUUUCUUUACUAAUUGAGAAUGUUUAGUUGAAAAGGGGCAAAAAAAAAAAAAAAUAGCAACAUACACUAGCUAAUAACAAGAAAAUUUGCAGCCCUUUUCGAGGAGUAUUUCGUAAAUUACUUUUUAAGUAAUUUAUGGAAUUCAGUUAUGAGAUAUUUUAACUAGAUGAUUAGUCUAGGUCUAGGAAUAAUGUCACUCAAUUUGUUGGAGGUGCAAGUGUGUGGUUUUUAGUCCUUUUAGCCAGUGUUGCUCAAUGAAUAGAGAGCUUCAAGUCCACAGGUAGUGAGUGGAGCAAGGAUUUACCCGCUUGAGCUCAAGUUGUAAUCUCCUUCAAUGGAAAAAGAAUGCUUCUACAUAAUAUAAGCAUGUCAACAUUUGCCUAAUGAUCGAAUGAAAUUUACUUUUCUAGCCGCAGCAUUUCUUGUACUGAAACAAUAAUGUUACAUGCUACAGAACGAAUACUGCAUGCGCCCUAUUGUUCUAUUGAGAAUUGAGAGUAUUGAUGUGCAUAGAAUACAGGGUGGAAACUUAGACUUUCUGGUAGUUUAGUAGCAACUACCAUCGGUUAAUUUUUUUUUAUUCCCUUUUCUUUGUUUGUGUUCUAAUUUCUCCAUGAAUUUUGCUGCUCAAGUGUCCUCCAACCUUGACAGACCUACUCAUGCCAAGUCCCUACUGUACAGUGAAGAACUGGUAUACCUUCAAUCAUACCAGCAAUCUUGCUCUUUUAGUGAUUGCAAUAAGACUGCAUAAUCAAGACCAAACAUUAAUAGAGUUGCUUAAUUCUGAGGUUUCAUCCAGAAAGCUACUAGUCUAUUAUUUGAUAUUUCAUUGCCAAAGGGAUUUUUCAAUCCAGAUUGGUUGUGUAAUAGCCUGUUAUCGUUCAAGUUAAUGUGCGGUAAUUAAAAGAAUGGCCGCAGAAAAUCCCUAGAAAAAGUUUUCACCAGAGUUCUAUUCUAAAAAAUGAGCUACAGAACAAAUAAAACUAGCUUGACAAAUGCCUUUUUUCAAGCAAAAACAGUAGCAGCCGUGAGGUCAAUAGUUCAUCCAGAAAAGUUGAGCUUCUUCAUCACUUUUGCAUAAGCCAAUG